AAAUCGUGAGCUGACAUUAAAGAGUAAAAACAUGUAAUUUAAAAUAACAGCUAAUGUUAGUGUGAUUGAGAAUGCAAAAAACAUUUAAGCUAAAAACCACGCACUCUUUUGGGCUAAAGACUAAAAACUAAAACGUAUUUAUCAUAGCUGUUACAAUUUAAAACACUGCAGGCCUACAUUUUCACGGCUUAACUAUAUAGCCAAGGUACAAACUGAGAUUAGUAACGUAUGUAAAACAUAAGGCUAUUUGACAGACAUAAGGCUGCAUUACUGGAUAAAAGAUAUUACCUCGCCUGCAUUAUUUUAUGGAAGCUGAAUAGGAUGUUUCUUGAGCUGAGUCAACACUUCAAUUUGACGGCAAAACACUCGUUUUAAGGAAACACAGCGAAUGGAAAGAUGGUUAAGUCAGCUAAUGUUAGCUCGUUCACUUCGACAAUACAAAAAAGAAAAAAAGCCUGCACAAAACACAUGCUCGGAAAACCGGAGAAACAAUUACGUUUAGCACCAAGUUCGCCACAAUCAUUGACGUUAGUGCAACAACUAAAGAAAUGUGUUUUAUCAUCCACACUGAUGAUGGUAGGACAUUUGUUUUGUUUUAUAGAUAUUUUGAAAGUUUGUGUCUUGACUCUGAGAAAAAAUGUGUGUUUUUCAGAACUUCUAUUUGCUGAAACAUCCAAGAACUCUGCUGACUUCUCAGACCUGACAGAGUUUGGUGCAUCCUCAAAUCAGACAGAUGGUGUUACUCUCACAACUUGUGAUUCUCCCCGGCCCGCAGUGAUCAGCUGAUGUACUACAAAUAUUUCCUCAUUUCUUGGAUGUCAAAAGACUUAUUUUGCAAGACUUCUCACUGAUGUUUGGAGCAGAGGUUGCUUCAAGGUUCCUGGAAAAAAAUGGAACACCAGUUUUAAAAAAAAAAAAAAAAAAGUACAUCCUACGAAAGGACCAGGAACCG
rnacentral:lncRNA from 1 species